GAAUCAUAAUGGCCGAAAAUCUAAGGUUUCUUGGGGAAGGUUCGUCCGCCCAAGGUUAGUCGGGAGCUAAGCUCAGGCCGAAAGGCGUAGGCGAUGCACAUACGGUAGAAAUUCCGUAACCACCGAACAUUUAAGCUAGAGGGACGCUUUCUUUAAGGUUAUCCCGGGCGAUGGUUGCCCCGGGCGUAAGGGACCGAAAUAUAGUAGGGAAGUAACUGGCGAGAGAGACGAGAAAAGCUCUAGUGUAUACUAAGGUGCCCGUACCGCAAACCGACACAGGUAGAUGGGAUGAGUAUUCUAAGGCCAACGGGAGAAGGGUUGUUAAGGAACUCGGCAAAUUGGCCCCGUAACUUCGGGAUAAGGGGCGCCUGCGAGAGCAGGCCGCAGUGAAAAGGCCCAAGCGACUGUUUAGCAAAAACACAGCUCUCUGCUAAAUCGAAAGAUGACGUAUAGGGGGUGACGCCUGCCCGGUGCUGGAAGGUUAAGGGGAGUGCUUAGCGCAAGCGAAGGUGCGAACUUAAGCCCCAGUAAACGGCGGCCGUAACUAUAACGGUCCUAAGGUAGCGAAAUUCCUUGUCAGGUAAGUUCUGACCCGCACGAAUGGCGUAACGAUUUGGGCACUGUCUCAACAGCCCGCCCGGCGAAAUUGUAGUACCGGUGAAGAUGCCGGUUUCCCGCAACUAGACGGAAAGACCCCAUGGAGCUUCACUGUAGCUUGAUAUUGGAUCUCGGUAUUCCAUGUACAGGAUAGGUGGGAGGCUAGGAAGUAAGCGCGCCAGCGUUUAUGGAGCCAACCUUGGGAUACCACUCUUGGGAUAUUGGGAUUCUAACCUGCGACCAUGAAUCUGGUCGGGGGACACUGUCAGGUGGGCAGUUUGACUGGGGCGGUCGCCUCCAAAAGAGUAACGGAGGCGCUCAAAGGUUCGCUCAGCAUGGUCGGAAACCAUGCCUUAGAGUGUAAACGCAAAAGCGAGCCUAACUGCGAGGCUGACGGGCCGAGCAGUAACGAAAGUUGGAGUUAGUGAUCCGGCGGUAUGUGAAUGGAAAUGCCGUCGCUCAACGGAUAAAAGCUACCCUGGGGAUAACAGGCUGAUCUCCCCCAAGAGUCCACAUCGACGGGGAGGUUUGGCAC
rnacentral:rRNA from 1 species